CUUUUUUUCAAGAGAACCACUUUAACAUCUUCAAUAUACCACCCACUGAGAUUCUAAGGAGAUGAAACCCGAGAGACAAAAAUUAUUUUAAACAAAAUGCUGACAUAAGAAAGUGACAUCUAUCAGUGGAAACGACAAGAAUACCACCAUCAUCAUCUUGAUGUGGAGGAGGAUGACAGCUAUCGACGAUUCACUAACUUACUCAUUUAGAGCCUGUCAAUCAAUCAUAUUAUAUCCGAAUGCACAUAACAUGUAAACACAUUUGUGAAGAUUAUAUGGAGAUGGAGAUAUAAGGUAUUUUCGGGUACUUAUAUGUGAGGGACGCAAUUUUUAACGACAACGACUUGCCACGCACAUUUUUCCUGACAAGCAAGGCGAGGUAUUGAAUUUUCUUGAGAGGAAAUUCGAUGGAAAUCACGUGUCACUUUCGAAGGAUACAAACAUUGGAAUUCUUAUUUUUUUCUUCUUGUUUUGAGGAUAUACUCUUAGGUAGCUAAAAUCUCACGGAAUUUUCAUAUUUAGGCUUCAACGAAAACGACGACGACGACUUUUUUGGCGAAACAAAAUUUAAGCAUAAGACAAUUCGUUAAUGAGCUAGACAAUACAAUUAAUGGUAUUUUUGAUUAACUUUUUACAGAAAUAAUUUUUAGUUUUUUCACUUAUUUGUUUUGUAUCCUUAAAAUAUUUUUUUUUGUUAGAUUAAGAUUUAAAUUUUUUUGUUUUCUAUUUUUUCCUAGUUUAUCACCAACCGUUAAGAUAUCGUGGCGUCAUAAAUGGUAGACGCUGGGAGACUAGUUUCCCAAUCACGGAUAUUCCCAUACAUCUGCAGCUGCUGCUAUUGGGGAUUUUCUAGUGUUUUUCUGACUCGAUGCGCGAAAAUCACCGAACGGGUGGCAGUGGUGAUUCCAAAGUUGUGGAAAAGCUGUAUUCAAUGUUCUUCUCAGUGAGAGACCAUCAACAUCAACUUCAACAUCAUCAUCAUCCAGGGGAGCUAUCAGAUGGGAAAACUAGAGAAAAAUCAUCUGAUAGCAGAUAGAGAGCGGAUGUGGAUAUGGAUGUGGAAAAUUUUGAGGUGUAAUUCCAGAAAAUUUGUAUUCCAGUGUGGUAAGAAAACACACCCAAAUAAUUUUUUUUUCCGACUUGGCUUGACUUUUGGAAAACUUUUUGAAGUGAACAACUGAUUUUAGAAUAAUGUAUAUGGAUAAGCUUUUCCGGCUUUCCCGGGAAAUUUGCUCAAUUGGGGAGAGUAUUUUGUUGUGUUAAUGAGUGGAAUCUUGUUUUUUUUUUGGUUGUAACAUUUAUUGAACGUUUAUUAGACUCUUGAGAGUUGGUUUUGGAAAGAAUGAAAAUAAAAAUAUUUGCAGCUAAUUCAAAGUUAUAAAAAUUAAAUUGAGGAACAAUAAUUGUAAACAAAGUAAGCUCAUAAAAAAAAUAUUAUUAUUAUGGAUAUUGAAAAAAUUUCCCUUUAUUUUCUCUUUCGUUGGGAAAUUUAAAAUAAAUGUCGUUGUUUUAGUCUUCUCAUUGAAAAUGCGCAUGCUUAAGAAUGUGUAUGAUUUGGUGUUAAGGAAUUUGAUGACAUUUUUGUUGAGGUAGUUGAGGCAGCAUAGAUUCACGUGGAUAGAGAUUGGAGUUGGAUGUAGAGAUAUUUUUGACUUCUGAAGUAAAUUUAAUAUUGCAUUUAAGAAAUAGUGUAAUAUUAGGU